UCAAACUUGGUCAUUUAGAGGAAGUAAAAGUCGUAACAAGGUUUCCGUAGGUGAACCUGCGGAAGGAUCAUUAAAAAAUCAUGAGCGUACCGUACAUGCUAGCGUGUGUACGGUACGUAUGAGAGCCGCAAGGCUCUCUGAAUAUUUUGUGAACUGUGUGGACAGUACGAGGGGUAUGAUGUGGUGGGAUGUUGAAUGGAUGGAUAUGGGGUCUUGCCCCACCCAACCGGUAUAUAUCCUAAUCCUGUCUAUCUGCUGUACUGUCUAUUUUGAUAAUAUAUGUUAUAUAUUGAUGAAGUAUAAUGGGGAGGGAGGAGGAAACUCCAACCUCGCACAACAAUAUAUUAUACAACUUUCAACAGUGGAUCUCUCGGCUCUUGCAUCGAUGAAGAACGCAGC
rnacentral:misc_RNA from 1 species